AUAAAUUGAGAGUUUGAUCCUGGCUCAGGACGAACGCUGGCGGCGUGCCUAAUACAUGCAAGUCGAACGAGAAUUUCUUACACCGAGUGCUUGCACUCACCGUAAGAAAUUCGAGUGGCGGACGGGUGAGUAACACGUGGGUAACCUGCCCAAAA
rnacentral:rRNA from 1 species